UUCUCAAAACUAUUUGUUCAGUCUUCACAUCAUGAUGUGACGUGUGCACAUCAUAUAAGCAGUUUCUCUUUUUUCUCUUUUUUUCACUUUGAACCAGUUGCAAAUGCUUUGGUACAUCCAUUCAAAUGAUUCUGCACAAUUCCCAGCUCUUUGCUACAUUAUCAAUUGUUUAUGUCAUGUUGAUCAAAAUGUAUUAUAUAGUUCACUGCGCAAUAGUCUUACUCCUCAAAACAUCUAGUCAUUAGUUCAUCGUAUAAAUCAUUAACUGCAAAAUGGUUGACCGAGUUGUCAUAAUGUGACAAAUAUAUUUCUAUACAUCUCCAUUAUAUGUUUCUUUCUAAAUCGGUCCUGAUUUGGUAAAUUGCUCUCAGGUGACUUGACUUUCUCUAACAAAGGUGCAUCUCCUUAACCAUCAACUGGCAAGUAUAUAUAUGGGUGAAGCACAACACAAUGUUCUAUGUCUGACAAUGGUGUGCUUACACAUCACAAACUCUCUACAGAGAUCUCAUCCCUGAAGAAGAGAGGGGUCGGAGUGGAGAUCACCUGCCAAAGUAUGUGAUAGUUUGGGACAAUGUGAGUUUUCGUCACUCCAACAUCAUUAGGCAUCAGGAUGGAAAGUUGUAACACAGAUGACUGGACAGAUCUGGAUUUUUGUUCAAAGACAUCAUAAUCAUACUAUCAUGCUUUUCAGGGCCUAAUUAUUGUAUAUUUCCAUCAUGUUUUGAUGUUGUUUAGAUUGUGCGCACGUCACCAGAAACUGUUGUCACGCCUACCUGGUUGGCUCCUCUUCUCUGUCAAUCACAUUAUAAGCGCUGCUGAUUGGUUCAGUUACCUGCUCAGGUUUAUAUGCACACUGUGAUGCUGCUGCCGCCCCAGCAGACCACACCGUACAGGAUGGCUGAUGCCACCACAGAGUCAUAGAAGGUCUUCAGGAGUGGCCCCCUCACUCCUCCUCAGCAGGUGCCCCAACCAACCUUCUUAUCAAGCCUCUCUUCCACCGCUACCACCUCUUAGCAAGCCUCUGGUGGGACGGGUUCAUCCUCUGCGCUGAGACUUAAUUAUGAUAUGCCACAGCAACGUCAGCCCCAAGUAUUGGCUGAGGUGGAGUCAACUUUAGCAGCAGUGAUGCAUCAUCAUAAUGCACAAGAUCUCAUCCCUGAAGAAGAGAGGGGUCGGAGUGGAGAUCACCUGCCAAAGUAUGUGAUAGUUUGGGACAAUGUGAGUUUUCGUCACUCCAACAUCAUUAGGCAUCAGGAUGGAAAGUUGUAACACAGAUGACUGGACAGAUCUGGAUUUUUGUUCAAAGACAUCAUAAUCAUACUAUCAUGCUUUUCAGGGCCUAAUUAUUGUAUAUUUCCAUCAUGUUUUGAUGUUGUUUAGAUUGUGCGCACGUCACCAGAAACUGUUGUCACGCCUACCUGGUUGGCUCCUCUUCUCUGUCAAUCACAUUAUAAGCGCUGCUGAUUGGUUCAGUUACCUGCUCAGGUUUAUAUGCACACUUGUACCGUUUGUCCAGUAUUGCGAUAAGGGCGAAAAUAAGGAAGUGUGUUCAGAACCGAAGCAAAUUACUGGAUGAAAAGAAUCUGGGGAGCUGUGGAGUGCAGACACAGAAACCUACAGCUACAUGUUUAUUAGUUUCCUGCAGGCCAAUAAAACGAGAAGAUAAAAGUCCAAGCUGGCUUCAGUAGUUUCGUACGGUCAGGGAGAGAGGCUGCAAUGAAGAGCGUUACACUAACGGGUUCACUGAAGAAAUGGAACUGAUGGUCACACAGAUUUAUGGAGGCAGACAUCCAAACCUAGAUUGGACCUCCAGGAGAGACGAGUGUGGCCACUGGGACGUGCCCAUUUAUGGACUUAAAGCGAGGGUGGAUCAGUCUGCUACCGAAGCUGCUCUCCAGAGCAGACAGUGAGUCCUCCAGUGGGUGAGAGUCCUGGUCCAUGAUGGAUGUCAGUUUAGCCAGGACCCUUCUCUCACCCACCUCCUGCACCGUGUCCAGAGUGCAGCCCAGGACAGAGCUGGACCUCUUGAUGAUCCUGUCCAGUCUCUUCCUGUCCCUCACUGUGAUGCUGCUGCCGCCCCAGCAGACCACACCGUACAGGAUGGCUGAUGCCACCACAGAGUCAUAGAAGGUCUUCAGGAGUGGCCCCCUCACUCCUCCUCAGCAGGUACAGUCUGCUCUGACCCUUCCUGUACAGUGCAUCCGUGUUAUGAGUCCAGUCCAGUUUUUUGUUCAGAUGCACACCCAGGUACUUGUAAGAGUCCACUCUCUCAAUGUCCCUUCCCUGGAUGUGCAUCGGUGGGAUGACAGCAGGCUGCCGUCUGCGGAAAUCCACCACCAUCUCCUUCGUUUUCCCUGCAUCGAUCAGGAGGUGGUCCCGCUGGCACCAGUCCACAAAGUUCUGAGUGAGUCCUCUGUACUCUGCGUCGUCAUCAUCGGUGAUCAGUCCGACGAUCGCAGAGUCGUCAGAGAACUUCUGCAGAACACAGCUGUCCGUGUUGUGUCUGAAGUCUGAAGUGUAGAGGGUGAAGAGGAAGGGGGCCAGUACAGUCCCCUGUGGGGACUCCUCCAGUUUGUAUUUCAGAAGCACCGGCUGGAUGGUGUUGAAGGCACUGGAGAAGUCAAAGAACAUGAUCCUCACAGUGCUGCCGGGCUUCUCUAGGUGCCCCAACCAACCUUCUUAUCAAGCCUCUCUUCCACCGCUACCACCUCUUAGCAAGCCUCUGGUGGGACGGGUUCAUCCUCUGCGCUGAGACUUAAUUAUGAUAUGCCACAGCAACGUCAGCCCCAAGUAUUGGCUGAGGUGGAGUCAACUUUAGCAGCAGUGAUGCAGCAUCAUAAUGCACAAUCUAACCUAAGCCAUGCACAUGUUGGAUUAUUUGUUGCACAUGCAGCCCAGCUCCAGUCAGUCUGUGAAGAUGUCAUGGUCAGUUCUUUACAGGUCUGUGUGGUAGUUGGUUGUUUAGGCUAUAGACUUGUUCACAUUUGUGUCACGGGGGACAUGAAUGAAAGACUCAACGCUGAUAAUAUUUCAUCUUCUCUAUUUGCAUAAAUCAAAUUUAAACCUUGUUUUCUCACCCAAUGGUUGGUGUCAGCACAACAGAGCUAAGAUUUGACAUUUACUUGGUUUAUUCUAGUUCAUUAACUCUGAAAACAUUUAAAAAUCACACUCCUGCUGUGGACCCGUUUUUGUGGGGAGUACCAAGAUCAUAAGGCGCAUAAACCAACCUCAUGUUAAGCCAACACCUCCGUCUCCUGCAGAGGAGCUCAGCAAUGGGGAAAUCUACAGAGACUGCGCCCUACAGAACCUCGCAGCGCAGAUGAAGGCACUCCCUAAAGUUGUGGGCUGUGAGCUGCCACCUACUCGGGAUUUGCUGGUUAUAGACGGACAUGGAUCUACUCUGCAGCUUGCAUUAUUACACGCCAAGUGUGUGUUUCACUGUUUGAUAAUGGAAGGGAACCAACUCAAUACUUGGUGGAGGAAAAAACGUUGGCUGCAAUACAUCUGAAUCUGAACUGUGAUAAAGAAAAAUAACGUGACAGCGGAUGAAGUUUGUUCCCGAGAACAGGAAAAAAAAACAGUUGUGAUUCUGAUGUUGGUAAUAACAUGAGAUGUAUUCAUUAGGUAAUACUACAGAAAAUGUCUUAUUACCAAUAUGUUUCUUCAUAGUGUGAAUUUGAGGUUUGACUUGGAGUUUUGACAUGCUUUUGACAAAAGCUCUAAGAUUUGACCAAGAAUGGGAUUAAGUUUAUUGAAGACAUUUACACAGACACGUCUACUGAAGAAGUGGCAUAACUGUACUGUAGCUAAAUGUACAAUAGUACCAGUAGUUCCACUCCUCUAUUGUAGCUUUUGACUUGUCUGUAGUUACAUUUUUAUACAACAUUUGUUCUUCUUUAAAUGUUCUUUGUUUUUCUGGAAGUCCUGAUGAGAUUUGUACAAGCAGACUUGAAGCUACAGUACAACGUCUUCAUUUACGGAAGCCAACUGUGCGGCUCUUCUACUACUUCGUUAUUGAGUGUGCUCGCUUUCUCCGUCACCUCCUGGUUUAAUUCCAUUAGCCUGCAAAGAAAGAAAUCUGUCGGGACCCCUCACAUCCUAAGUCCCAUGUUCCAGUGGCUCCCAUCAGGACACAGACUCCCUGAUGCAGGACCCAAAUAGGAGAAACACUGUAAUCCCAGCAGUAGUUAUCCAUCAGAAUGCUGUCCUGUACAAUGACGCUUUUAAUUGAUCUUAUUAGUAAUAUUAAUUUUCCUGGAUGCUUUACCUUAAUUGGCCUUCAGGGAUAAAUAAUAGAGAUAAAGUGUUUUAAAUUGAAUUGAUCAAUACAUUAUAAAUACCUGAAAUACUUAUGUACACAUUAUUCAAAGAAAUAAAUUAAAAACAAAUCUAUGUUGUGAAGUUCACAUGUGAAAAUAUGUCAGUUGUAUAAAAAACAUUUUGCCGUUUCCGCUCACGCACGUCAGCGCGUGCGUCAGUCAAUGUCAUGGUAACAAACAACGCUUGGCCCGACCGAGUCUAUAUAAGGCGCGCAGUCACGGGGGUUCCCCGUUUGCAGUUGGACACUGACGUUUAGAGACGCAAGCAACGGCAGAUGGGUAGUGAAUUCCGUGUAAAUUUUAAUAUUUAUCACUUAAAUGGCCUGAAUUGUUUGAAAUGAAUAAAGGAUAUAUGUACGAUACAUCUAUUGUAUGUGUAUUUAUGUGUUUAUUGACAACGUAACUUGUCAUUUUGGUCAAAAUUUAAAAAUAUUCAUAUUUUUAAAAUGGCGACUGCACCGACUGUAAACUCCCGCAGCGCUCCUGCCCUUUUCGGUAUCUGCAGCCUUAAAUAUUAUCGCCUAAGGUUAUUUAAUUUAGUUCAAUGUAAAUCUACCCAUAGACACAUGGCCAUUGUUGGACUUCGCUAACGGAUCAUUCUGUUGCAAUUAAAGUGUCGGGAGUGGAGCAGUGGUUAGCGCCGAAAGCUAAGUAGCGCCCCUGCCAGGAUGCUAUCAAGCAGGGAGAUAAACAUAUUUGCCUGUUUCCGCUCACGCACGUCAGCGCGUGCGUCAGUCAAUGUCAUGGUAACAACAAACGCUUGGCCCGACCGAGUCUAUAUAAGGCGCGCAGUCACGGGGGUUCCCCGUUUGCAGUUGGACGCUGACGUUUAGAGACGCAAGCAACGGCAGAUGGAGAUCUCAUCCCUGAAGAAGAGAGGGGUCGGAGUGGAGAUCACCUGCCAAAGUAUGUGAUAGUUUGGGACAAUGUGAGUUUUCGUCACUCCAACAUCAUUAGGCAUCAGGAUGGAAAGUUGUAACACAGAUGACUGGACAGAUCUGGAUUUUUGUUCAAAGACAUCAUAAUCAUACUAUCAUGCUUUUCAGGGCCUAAUUAUUGUAUAUUUCCAUCAUGUUUUGAUGUUGUUUAGAUUGUGCGCACGUCACCAGAAACUGUUGUCACGCCUACCUGGUUGGCUCCUCUUCUCUGUCAAUCACAUUAUAAGCGCUGCUGAUUGGUUCAGUUACCUGCUCAGGUUUAUAUGCACACUUGUACCGUUUGUCCAGUAUUGCGAUAAGGGCGAAAAUAAGGAAGUGUGUUCAGAACCGAAGCAAAUUACUGGAUGAAAAGAAUCUGGGGAGCUGUGGAGUGCAGACACAGAAACCUACAGCUACAUGUUUAUUAGUUUCCUGCAGGCCAAUAAAACGAGAAGAUAAAAGUCCAAGCUGGCUUCAGUAGUUUCGUACGGUCAGGGAGAGAGGCUGCAAUGAAGAGCGUUACACUAACGGGUUCACUGAAGAAAUGGAACUGAUGGUCACACAGAUUUAUGGAGGCAGACAUCCAAACCUAGAUUGGACCUCCAGGAGAGACGAGUGUGGCCACUGGGACGUGCCCAUUUAUGGACUUAAAGGUGAAUAUUGUGCAGUGUUGCCAGAUGGGGAAAUAAGAAUAAGAAAACCUUUAAUAGUCCCGCAGUGGGGAAAUUACUUCUCACAACAGCAGUACAGAUGAGCGAGAAUACAGGUACAGAACAGUUUGUGUUGGCACAGUACAAAGCAGUACAGUACAGUUAGAGUGAGUAUGAGGUCAUUGCAGGGUUAUUGCACGGUAAUGGGUAUAAGAUUUGUACCGGUAACAUUAUACAUGAUUGUUCACAGAUUUACACAAAUAUUGUGCAGAGCAGGUUGCUAUAUAAACCACUGAUGCAGUGGGUGAGUGACUGUAGUGGGACGUGGUCAACAGUUCUGAUUUAUACAGUCUGACAGCAGCAGCAGCAGGUAGGAAGGAUCUACGAUAUCUCUCCUUCACACAGCGAGGGUGGAUCAGUCUGCUACCGAAGCUGCUCUCCAGAGCAGACAGUGAGUCCUCCAGUGGGUGAGAGUCCUGGUCCAUGAUGGAUGUCAGUUUAGCCAGGACCCUUCUCUCACCCACCUCCUGCACCGUGUCCAGAGUGCAGCCCAGGACAGAGCUGGACCUCUUGAUGAUCCUGUCCAGUCUCUUCCUGUCCCUCACUGUGAUGCUGCUGCCGCCCCAGCAGACCACACCGUACAGGAUGGCUGAUGCCACCACAGAGUCAUAGAAGGUCUUCAGGAGUGGCCCCCUCACUCCUCCUCAGCAGGUACAGUCUGCUCUGACCCUUCCUGUACAGUGCAUCCGUGUUAUGAGUCCAGUCCAGUUUUUUGUUCAGAUGCACACCCAGGUACUUGUAAGAGUCCACUCUCUCAAUGUCCCUUCCCUGGAUGUGCAUCGGUGGGAUGACAGCAGGCUGCCGUCUGCGGAAAUCCACCACCAUCUCCUUCGUUUUCCCUGCAUCGAUCAGGAGGUGUUCCCGCUGGCACCAGUCCACAAAGUUCUGAGUGCCCCAACCAACCUUCUUAUCAAGCCUCUCUUCCACCGCUACCACCUCUUAGCAAGCCUCUGGUGGGACGGGUUCAUCCUCUGCGCUGAGACUUAAUUAUGAUAUGCCACAGCAACGUCAGCCCCAAGUAUUGGCUGAGGUGGAGUAAACUUUAGCAGCAGUGAUGCAUCAUCAUAAUGCACAGCCCGUCCCGCAUCCUCCUGGGGUCCGGCGCGACCCCGGCCCACGGAACCUCCCCGUCGGGCGUCCUGCCGGGGUCCGGCGCGACCCCAGCCCCAUGUACCUCCCCGUCAGGCGUCCUCCCGGGGUCAGGCGCGACCCCAGCUCGCUGUACCUCCCCGUCAGGCAUCCUCCCGGGGUCCGGCGCGACCCCGGCCCACGGAACCUCCCCGUCGGGCGUCCUGCCGGGGUCCGGCGCGACCCCAGCUCCCUGUACCUCCCCGUCAGGCGUCUUCCCGGGGUCCGGCGCGACCCCGGCCCACGGAACCUCCCCGUCGGGCGUCCUGCCGGGGUCCGGCGCGACCCCAGCUCCCUGUACCUCCCCAUGUACCUCCCCGUCCCGCAUCCUCCCGGGGUCAGGCGCGACCCCAGCUCCCUGUACCUCCCCGUCAGGCGUCCUCCCGGGGUCCGGCGCGACCCCGGCCCACGGAACCUCCCCGUCAGGCGUCCUGCCGGGGUCAGGCGUCCUGCCGGGGUCCGGCGCGACCCCAGCUCCCUGUACCUCCCCGUCAGGCGUCCUCCCGGGGUCAGGCGCGACCCCGGCCCACAGAACCUCCCCGUCAAGCGUCCUGCCGGGGUCUUGGCGCCGCGUUAGAAACCCAUUCUUUCGUAGCUCUCAUUGUGGCGUUCGUGUGCAGCCUUGUUCAUUGUGGCCAUUUGCUAAAUUUUCGUGCCCAGAGCGAGUCGCUGCGUGUGAAGAGCCAGUGGCAUCGAUGUUUCCACAGCGAGUCACUGAUCAGCGCGCUGCUGUUGGCAGGUUUAGUUGAGGUUAGGGUGGUCUGUCGAGGAGCUCCCGCCCCCUGCGACUUGUCCACCGGUCUGCGGGGGAGUUGAGCCUGGUUGUAAACCUCCACACGGUGCGGUUCUCAGAGUAAUGGCUGUCUACAAGAAGACGCUGCAGACCAUCGCAGUCAUUUGAUCAGAGCGGAGGGCAGCCAAAGGCCUCAGUAUCUUGAGGAUCACAACACAAAAAGGCACAGUGUGACUGUUCCCUAUGAGCCGCCCCAGCCGGGCUCAGAGAUCACCACAAUCCUG